rnacentral:rRNA from 1 species
GCCAGCCCGCUCAGAACUUAAAUGAAUUGACGGGGCCGCACAAGCGGUGGAGCAUGUGGUUUAAUUCGAUGCAACGCGAAGAACCUUACCUGGUCUUGACAUCCCGGAGACCCUUAGGAAACUAGGGGGUGCUUCCAUCUGGAAGAAUCUGGAGACAGGUGCUGCAUGGCUGUCGUCAGCUCGUGUCGUGAGAUGUUGGGUUAAGUCCCGCAACGAGCGCAACCCUUGCCUUUAGUUGCCAGCAGUUCGGCUGGGCACUCUAAAGGGACUGCCGGUGUUAAACCGGAGGAAGGUGGGGAUGACGUCAAGUCCUCAUGGCCUUUAUGACCAGGGCUACACACGUACUACAAUGGCCGAUACAAAGGGCAGCGACACUGCGAGGUGAAGCCAAUCCCGUAAAAUCGGUCUCAGUCCGGAUUGGAGUCUGCAACUCGACUCCAUGAAGUUGGAAUCGCUAGUAAUCGUGGAUCAGCAUGCCACGGUGAAUACGUUCCCGGGCCUU